rnacentral:rRNA from 1 species
CAUGCGAGUUAUGGGUUCUUUGUGAACCCGGCAAACUGCUCAGUAACACGUGGACAACCUGCCCUUGGGACUAGGAUAACCCCGGGAAACUGGGGAUAAUACUAGAUAGGUCACAGAAGCUGGAAUGCUCUGUGACUGAAAUGCUUUCGCGCCCAAGGAUGGGUCUGCGGUCGAUUAGGUAGUUGCUAGGGUAACGACCUGGCAAGCCUAUAAUCGGUACGGGCUCUGAGAGGAGGAGCCUGGAGACGGAUUCUGAGACACGAAUCCGGGCCCUACGGGGCGCAGCAGGCGCGAAAUCUUUACAAUGUGCGAAAGCACGAUAAGGGGAUCCCAAGUGCCAGCGCACUGCGUUGGCUGUUCUCUACCCUAAAAAGCUAGAGGUAGUAAGGACCGGGCAAGACCGGUGCCAGCCGCCGCGGUAACACCGGCGGUCCAAGUGGUGGCCACUUUUAUUGGGCCUAAAGCGUCCGUAGCCGGCCAGGUAAGUCCCUUGUAAAAUCUGGUGGCUUAACCAUCAGGCCAUCAAGGGAAACUGCUUGGCUUGGAACCGGGAGAGGCCUCGGGUAUCCUAGGGGUAGGGGCGAAAUCCUGUAAUCCCUAGGAGACCACCUGUGGCUAAAGCUCGAGGCUAGAACGGGUUCGACGGUGGGGGACGAAAGCCAGGGGCACAAACCGGAUUAGAUACCCGGGUAGUCCUGGCUGUCAACGAUGCCCGCUAGGUGUAGGCCGUAGCACGUCUGCGGCCUGUGCCCUAGUGAAGACGUUAAGCGGGCCGCCUGGGAAGUACGUCCGCAAGGAUGAAACUUAAAGGAAUUGGC